GUCAGAGGUGAAAUUCUUGGAUUUAUGAAAGAUUAACUUCUGCGAAAGCAUCUGCCAAGGAUGUUUUCAUUAAUCAAGAACGAAAGUUAGGGGAUCGAAGACGAUCAGAUACCGUCGUAGUCUUAACCAUAAACGAUGCCGACCAGCGAUUAGGAGACGUGAUACAAAACACCACCAUCGGCGCGUCGUCCCUGCUCGUCGUCUCACGACGGCGGCGGGCGGUAGCCCGAGCUCCAAA
rnacentral:rRNA from 1 species